GACGAACGCUGGCGGCGUGCUUAACACAUGCAAGUCGAACGAAGUGGCGAACGGGUGAGUAAUACGUGAGUAACCUGCCCUCCUUUUUGGGAUAAGCCUUGGAAACGGGGUCUAAUACCGAAUAAAGGGGGCUGGGCUCGCGGCCUAUCAGCUUGUUGGUGGGGUGAUGGCCUACAAAGGCGGUGACUGGUAGUCGGCCUGAGAGAGUGACCGGGCACAUUGGAACUGAGAUACGGCCCAGAGUCCUACGGGAGGCAGCAGUGGGGGAUAUUGCACAAUGGGCGAAAGCCUGAUGCAGCGGCGCCGCGUGGGGGAUGAAGGCUUUCGGGUUGUAAACCUCGUUCGCGAUCGAAAGGGUAGGUGGAGAAGAAGCGCCGGCUAACUACGUGCCAGCCGCCGCGGUAAUUC
rnacentral:rRNA from 1 species